ensembl:lncRNA
GCGGCGCUGCGCCCUGCGCCGGGCCUGGCACCGGGCGAGCGGCCGAACACGCAGCCGCCCGGAUUAGCAGCAUUAGCAGCCAGCGCCGAGCAACAAUUAAUCAUUUGCUGGGGUUACAGGAGGCCCAGCCUGGUGUCCUUGCAGAUGAAACAGGAUUGGAAGAUGAUGUGGUUUGAGCCCCCACUUCCAACACCUUCCAGCUACUAAUGGGUGCUCGCUCCAGAAAAGAACUAAGCCAAAGAAAUCACCCCAAGCAUCUACAGUGGAGGCACCCAGUCUUCAGCAACAGCAGGUUUUAGUGCCUCCCAGUGUGCCCUAAUGAAUUAAUAACCUGCAGGGCAGUUCGAGCCAAGAAAUAUCUGAAACAAAUCCAUGGAGCCACCACUGAAUGCAAUAAUGGAGAAUCAGGGUGAAGGGAUGGAGUCAAAAGGUUCCCCUAUCUGGGCAAUCCUAGCUGGAUCUAAAAAGAUGACAUUCCCAAGCCAGGAGUUGGACUGUGUGAUCCUUGUCAGUUCCUUGCAGCUCAGGGUAGUCUAUGACUUGAUGAAGCUGGGGCUGUGUGGAGGCUCAGUGUGACCCACGGUGAGCCCGUGCCACCCCUGCUCCCACAGCAAGGAGGAGGGCAGUGCUCUGGCUGCCCAGGUAUCUGCCAGCAGGUGUCACUUACACCACUUUGAUUUGAACCACUGCAGUCCCACCAUCCCUUUGCUUCCCCCUUGGUGAACCAAAGGACAGAGGAGGCAAAAUGAGCCCAGAGUGCCUUUUGUUUCCUUGGAGUCUGUAUUAGCAGCUGGGAUAGCUCAUGUGUAUCCCAACUUGGGGUUGCUUGGGAUAGGUGCAUUGUUUAUGAACACUCCUGGGCCUCUUUCUAAUCUUUCAUCCUUGCGUAUCGUCCAAUGUGCAUCCCAUUUUGUUGGAAGACUGCUCCUGUUCUGUUGCAAAAUAGCCUCUGUUUAACAACAAGUCUCUGCCUUCAUCCUUGUGUGGAGCUGAGCAGCCCACCUUCAGAUCAGCGUGGAUUCCUGAAAAUCCCACAGUCUCACUUCACAGACACUUUGCAGCUGAACUCAGGUGACUUGAAAGAGCAUUUUGACAGACUGGGAUGAGAGAAGCCGCUAUCAUUGCUGCUGCUUUUGUGUGGUACAGCAUGGGCAAAGCUCUCGGCCGGCUGCCAGGGGUUUGGUUUGCGUGGCAGAGGUGGAGCCCAGGGAGAGGAGCCAUGCAUGUUUGUUAGAUGGGAAUAGGUUAAAGGGACAAGGAAGCCCUUGGAAGUGAAGUAAGGUGUCUGUAGGCCCUGGAAAGAAAGCAGUGCUUGCUGCCCAGGGAUGAGGCUGGGCAAAGCCACCCAGGGUGGUGCCACUGCCCCUCAUGGGUGUCAUGCAGGAGCAUCACCUGCAGAAGGUCCUGCACAUGGGGUGGUCUGCAGAAGUCACUUGGCUUUGGUGUGCUAAAAUCCACUGUCAUCUGCUGAAGUUAUGGGAGGACUAGACUGCAGUGCUCCUGGUCCCUCUGCUCAUGCCAUGGCACUGCCCUUUAUUUUCAGACUUCUAACAAAACCUGGACUAAAAAAUGAAACUAAACAUUGCAAUUUGUUCUUAGAUUUGUUGUAAAUGCACAUCCUUUUCCUGAAGAUAGAUCCCCAUAACAAUCAUCAAGAAAAACAACUUCAAACUAAGGCUGCUCUAGAGGAUUAUGAACACCAGAAAACCAAUGCCAAAACCCUGAUAGAAACAAUGCAAAAAGAGGGAGAAAUAAAAAGGUAACAUGUGUUAAGGGUUUGAUCAUGAUUACAGUUGUCACAUCCUCUAUCAUAAAUCUAAACCUGGGAAAAUUAACAGUAAAGAAACAUUUCAGUAAUCCCUUUAACUUUGAAUCUCUGCAACAGAAAUACUAAAAUGCAAAAUGUUUUCAUGUGGGUUUCAGUGAUGGAUGUAUAAAACAGAACAAAACACUUUUUUCAAACCGGAAAUCAUUAAUCUACUUUCAGUAACUAUGGCUUGUCUUGCAUUAACUUAGGGGACAUAUUUUCUACCUCUCCUCACAUUAUCAUAUUGAAUAAUACUCAUAGAAGCCAAUUGAACUAUUUGUGAGUAAAAUGUUACUCAAAAAAAAUAAGAUUAUCAAAGCCAAAUCAUAUGUAAAUAAUAUCCUUCAAAGUCUGCUGAACACAUCUUCUACCCACAGAGUGAUAACAUUUUAAUUAUCAAAAUAUAAAAAUGCUCACUGCAAAAGCCCAGGAGUCCAAAGUUUUUGAAUUAAGUCCAUAAAAAAUAAAUAUAUUAGGUUCAAAAUUGUAGAAGGCUUUAAAUAAUGUAUUAAACUUCUUUUAGUUUUUUCUGCAGUAAAAUGGCUCCAAUUGGUGUUGUCAAACCUUUUGCAUCAACAGUGCUUUUUAAUAAAAGUUGAAAUUUUCUUGUACUCUCUUGAUUCUUAGGGGUCUUUGUGAAAAGCACAAAUAUAGUGAUAAGCAAGGCAGCAUUGUAACAUUUGCAACAACACAGAAAUUACAAUUAAUGAAGAAUUUUAGUUGCAGUGACCUGUAAAUGAGACAUGUUACCUUAACUAGCUCUUGAUCAUCUUCCUUUGGAACUGGCAGUCCAUUCUGGAGUUACCAACUAUAAGAGAAAAAAUACUGUGUGCUUCCAGCACUUACAGAAACUAGCUUACCAGAAUAAACCUUCAUAAAUAUUUUUGCAGGUCAGGGUGGUGUUUCCACAGAAAAAACCAACAGAAUUUACCCAAACUGCAUGUUAAUGGAAUGACAAAGUAAAUCUUCACAUUUUCAUUUGUGCUAAUUAAAGGGGUUGAAUGACUGGGUAUUCAAAAUGUUACAUAUUUUGUAGUAAUUAAUGUCUACUGCUUUUGAAAUGGUUGGGUUUUUUGAUGCUAACAUUCUCAAAAAUUAUUUUAGGAAACAUUUGCUGGUUCUUGUUGAAGCUUUAACUAUGUGUAGGUUUAACUACAUCCUUUAUUCCUACAAAUACCCUUCUAUUUUAAAUAAAUAGAAGGUGCAUUAGAGGGUAAAAUAACUACCAACUACCAUCACAGUGUCAUCAGCGAGCUCAUCAAGAUGAUCUGUGUAGUAUUACAUCAUGUAGGUUUCUCUCUGGGCCUUAGACCUUCAGUCUCUAAUUUCUGCCCACCUUGGUAGAGCCAACCAGCUGCAGAUGGCUUAGUACUUAGAAGAGGCAAAAAGUGCUGCUGUGAGCACUGCUCUUAAGGGUGAUGUAUGAAGGGAGAGCAGAGCUUUUAAUUCAGAAAGAUUGAAUUCACAUAGCAAGCCAAGACAUUGGAGGUUUUAAAUAUCUGGUAUCUUAGUACAGGGAGUGAGUCUAUGACAGUGAAUAUACCUGUUUCAGCUUCAUUUUUCUUCUAAGAGUGUGUCUGUAAGCAAUAUCCCUAAUCAUCACUGUCCAUGUCUGACAAGCCCCAUGUUGAACUAGUGGGGAAAGUUGACUUGGGCUGUUACUGGCUGAUAGUUGCCAAAUCAUGUUAUGAAAUUACCUGAA